rnacentral:rRNA from 1 species
UACGUAGGGUGCGAGCGUUGUCCGGAAUUAUUGGGCGUAAAGAGCUCGUAGGCGGUUUGUCGCGUCUAUCGUGAAAACUGGAGGCUUAACUUUCAGCGUGCGGUGGAUACGGGCAGACUUGAGUUCGGUAGGGGAGACUGGAAUUCCUGGUGUAGCGGUGAAAAGCGCAGAUAUCAGGAGGAACACCGGUGGCGAAGGCGGGUCUCUGGGCCGAUACUGACGCUGAGGAGCGAAAGCGUGGGGAGCGAACAGG